UAGGGAAUCUUCGGCAAUGGACGGAAGUCUGACCGAGCAACGCCGCGUGAGUGAAGAAGGUUUUCGGAUCGUAAAGCUCUGUUGUAAGAGAAGAACGAGCGUGAGAGUGGAAAAUUCACACUGUGACGGUAUCUUACCAGAAAGGGACGGCUAACUACGUGCCAGCAGCCGCGGUAAUACGUAGGUCCCGAGCGUUGUCCGGAUUUAUCGGGCGUAAAGCGAGCGCAGGCGGUUAGAUAAGUCUGAAGUUAAAGGCUGUGGCUUAACCAUAGUAGGCUUUGGAAACUGUUUAACUUGAGUGCAAGAGGGGAGAGUGGAAUUCCAUGUGUAGCGGUGAAAUGCGUAGAUAUAUGGAGGAACACCGGUGGCGAAAGCGGCUCUCUGGCUUGUAACUGACGCUGAGGCUCGAAAGCGUGGGGAGCAAACAGGAUUAGAUACCCUGGUAGUCCACGCUGUAAACGAUGAGUGCUAGGUGUUAGACCCUUUCCGGGGUUUAGUGCCGUAGCUAACGCAUUAAGCACUCCGCCUGGGGAGUACGACCGCAAGGUUG
rnacentral:rRNA from 1 species